rnacentral:rRNA from 1 species
GACGAACGCUGGCGGCGUGCUUAACACAUGCAAGUCGAACGGAAAGGCCCUGCUUUUGUGGGGUGCUCGAGUGGCGAACGGGUGAGUAACACGUGAGUAACCUGCCCUUGACUUUGGGAUAACUUCAGGAAACUGGGGCUAAUACCGGAUAGGAGCUCCUGCUGCAUGGUGGGGGUUGGAAAGUUUCGGCGGUUGGGGAUGGACUCGCGGCUUAUCAGCUUGUUGGUGGGGUAGUGGCUUACCAAGGCUUUGACGGGUAGCCGGCCUGAGAGGGUGACCGGCCACAUUGGGACUGAGAUACGGCCCAGACUCCUACGGGAGGCAGCAGUGGGGAAUAUUGCACAAUGGGCGGAAGCCUGAUGCAGCAACGCCGCGUGCGGGAUGACGGCCUUCGGGUUGUAAACCGCUUUCGCCUGUGACGAAGCGUGAGUGACGGUAAUGGGUAAAGAAGCACCGGCUAACUACGUGCCGGCAGCCGCGGUGAUACGUAGGGUGCGAGCGUUGUCCGGAUUUAUUGGGCGUAAAGGGCUCGUAGGUGGUUGAUCGCGUCGGAAGUGUAAUCUUGGGGCUUAACCCUGAGCGUGCUUUCGAUACGGGUUGACUUGAGGAAGGUAGGGGAGAAUGGAAUUCCUGGUGGAGCGGUGGAAUGCGCAGAUAUCAGGAGGAACACCAGUGGCGAAGGCGGUUCUCUGGGCCUUUCCUGACGCUGAGGAGCGAAAGCGUGGGGAGCGAACAGGCUUAGAUACCCUGGUAGUCCACGCUGUAAACGGUGGGUACUAGGUGUGGGGUCCAUUCCACGGGUUCCGUGCCGUAGCUAACGCUUUAAGUACUCCGCCUGGGGAGUACGGCCGCAAGGCUAAAACUCAAAGGAAUUGACGGGGCCCCGCACAAGCGGCGGAGCAUGCGGAUUAAUUCGAUGCAACGCGUAGAACCUUACCUGGGUUUGACAUGGAUCGGGAGUGCUCAGAGAUGGGUGUGCCUCUUUUGGGGUCGGUUCACAGGUGGUGCAUGGCUGUCGUCAGCUCGUGUCGUGAGAUGUUGGGUUAAGUCCCGCAACGAGCGCAACCCUUGUUCACUGUUGCCAGCACGUUAUGGUGGGGACUCAGUGGAGACCGCCGGGGUCAACUCGGAGGAAGGUGGGGAUGACGUCAAGUCAUCAUGCCCCUUAUGUCCAGGGCUUCACGCAUGCUACAAUGGCUGGUACAGAGAGUGGCGAGCCUGUGAGGGUGAGCGAAUCUCGGAAAGCCGGUCUCAGUUCGGAUUGGGGUCUGCAACUCGACCUCAUGAAGUCGGAGUCGCUAGUAAUCGCAGAUCAGCAACGCUGCGGUGAAUACGUUCCCGGGGCU